AAGCCAUGGUGGGGAAACUUGUGUAGGAGAUCCUUGAAUCUCUCAUGUGCUUCGGAAAGUGUCUCAGAAUCCUCUUGCUGGAAUGCAGAAAUCUCUUGCCUCAAUCU